GACGAACGCUGGCGGCGUGCUUAACACAUGCAAGUCGAACGGAAAGGCCCGGCGUUUGUUGGGUUCUCGAGUGGCGAAGGGGGGAGUAACACGUGAGUAACCUGCCCUUGUCUUUGGGAGAACUUCAGGAAACUGGGGCGAAUAUCGGAUAGGAGCUCCUGCUGCAUUGUGGGGAUUGGAAAGUUUCGGCGGUUGGGGAUGGACUCGCGGCUUACCAGCUUGUUGGUGAGGUAGUGGCUUACCAAGGCUUUGACGGGUAGGCGGCCUGAGAGGGUGGCCGGCCACCUUGCGCCUACGGUACGGAGCAGACUCCUACGGGCCGCAGCAGUCGGAAAUCUUGCAGAGCAGGCGCAAGCCUGAUACGGCAGCCCCCCGUGCGGGAUGCCGGCCUUCGGGUUAUGAACCACUUUCGCAUGUGCCGAAGCCUUCGUGACGGUACUGAAUCAAGAAGCACCGGCUAACUACGUG
rnacentral:rRNA from 1 species